rnacentral:rRNA from 1 species
UUAAGCGACUAAGCGUACACGGUGGAUGCCCUGGCAGUCAGAGGCGAUGAAGGACGUGCUAAUCUGCGAAAAGCGUCGGUAAGGUGAUAUGAACCGUUACAGCCGGCGAUGUCCGAAUGGGGAAACCCAGUGUGAUUCGUCACACUAUCGUUAACUGAAUACAUAGGUUAACGAGGCGAACCGGGGGAACUGAAACAUCUAAGUACCCCGAGGAAAAGAAAUCAACCGAGAUUCCCCCAGUAGCGGCGAGCGAACGGGGAGCAGCCCAGAGUCUGAAUCAGCUUGUGUGUUAGUGGAACGGUCUGGAAAGUCCGACGGUACAGGGUGAUAGUCCCGUACACCAAAAUGCACAGGCUGUGAACUCGAAGAGUAGGGCGGGACACGUGGUAUCCUGUCUGAAUAUGGGGGGACCAUCCUCCAAGGCUAAAUACUCCUGACUGACCGAUAGUGAACCAGUACCGUGAGGGAAAGGCGAAAAGAACCCCGGCGAGGGGAGUGAAAAAGAACCUGAAACCGUGUACGUACAAGCAGUGGGAGCACCUUCGGGUGUGACUGCGUACCUUUUGUAUAAUGGGUCAGCGACUUAUAUUCUGUAGCAAGGUUAACCGUAUAGGGGAGCCGCAGGGAAACCGAGUCUUAACUGGGCGUUAAGUUGCAGGGUAUAGACCCGAAACCCGGUGAUCUAGCCAUGGGCAGGUUGAAGGUUGGGUAACACUAACUGGAGGACCGAACCGACUAAUGUUGAAAAAUUAGCGGAUGACUUGUGGCUGGGGGUGAAAGGCCAAUCAAACCGGGAGAUAGCUGGUUCUCCCCGAAAGCUAUUUAGGUAGCGCCUCGUGAACUCAUCUUCGGGGGUAGAGCACUGUUUCGGCUAGGGGGUCAUCCCGACUUACCAACCCGAUGCAAACUACGAAUACCGAAGAAUGUUAUCACGGGAGACACACGGCGGGUGCUAACGUCCGUCGUGAAGAGGGAAACAACCCAGACCGCCAGCUAAGGUCCCAAAGUCAUGGUUAAGUGGGAAACGAUGUGGGAAGGCACAGACAGCCAGGAUGUUGGCUUAGAAGCAGCCAUCAUUUAAAGAAAGCGUAAUAGCUCACUGGUCGAGUCGGCCUGCGCGGAAGAUGUAACGGGGCUAAACCAUGCACCGAAGCUGCGGCAGCGACACUAUGUGUUGUUGGGUAGGGGAGCGUUCUGUAAGCCUGCGAAGGUGACCUGUGAGGGUUGCUGGAGGUAUCAGAAGUGCGAAUGCUGACAUAAGUAACGAUAAAGCGGGUGAAAAGCCCGCUCGCCGGAAGACCAAGGGUUCCUGUCCAACGUUAAUCGGGGCAGGGUGAGUCGACCCCUAAGGCGAGGCCGAAAGGCGUAGUCGAUGGGAAACAGGUUAAUAUUCCUGUACUUGGUGUUACUGCGAAGGGGGGACGGAGAAGGCUAUGUUAGCCGGGCGACGGUUGUCCCGGUUUAAGCAUGUAGGCUGGUUAUCCAGGCAAAUCCGGAUAAUCAAGGCUGAGGUGUGAUGACGAGGCACUACGGUGCUGAAGUAACAAAUGCCCUGCUUCCAGGAAAAGCCUCUAAGCAUCAGGUAACAUCAAAUCGUACCCCAAACCGACACAGGUGGUCAGGUAGAGAAUACCAAGGCGCUUGAGAGAACUCGGGUGAAGGAACUAGGCAAAAUGGUGCCGUAACUUCGGGAGAAGGCACGCUGGUGUGUAGGUGAAGUCCCUGCGGAUGGAGCUGAGACCAGUCGAAGAUACCAGCUGGCUGCAACUGUUUAUUAAAAACACAGCACUGUGCAAACACGAAAGUGGACGUAUACGGUGUGACGCCUGCCCGGUGCCGGAAGGUUAAUUGAUGGGGUUAUCCGUAAGGAGAAGCUCUUGAUCGAAGCCCCGGUAAACGGCGGCCGUAACUAUAACGGUCCUAAGGUAGCGAAAUUCCUUGUCGGGUAAGUUCCGACCUGCACGAAUGGCGUAAUGAUGGCCAGGCUGUCUCCACCCGAGACUCAGUGAAAUUGAACUCGCUGUGAAGAUGCAGUGUACCCGCGGCAAGACGGAAAGACCCCGUGAACCUUUACUAUAGCUUGACACUGAACAUUGAGCCUUGAUGUGUAGGAUAGGUGGGAGGCUUUGAAGCGUGGACGCCAGUCUGCGUGGAGCCAACCUUGAAAUACCACCCUUUAAUGUUUGAUGUUCUAACGUUGGCCCCUUAUCGGGGUUGCGGACAGUGUCUGGUGGGUAGUUUGACUGGGGCGGUCUCCUCCCAAAGCGUAACGGAGGAGCACGAAGGUUAGCUAAUCCUGGUCGGACAUCAGGAGGUUAGUGCAAUGGCAUAAGCUAGCUUGACUGCGAGCGUGACGGCGCGAGCAGGUGCGAAAGCAGGUCAUAGUGAUCCGGUGGUUCUGAAUGGAAGGGCCAUCGCUCAACGGAUAAAAGGUACUCCGGGGAUAACAGGCUGAUACCGCCCAAGAGUUCAUAUCGACGGCGGUGUUUGGCACCUCGAUGUCGGCUCAUCACAUCCUGGGGCUGAAGUAGGUCCCAAGGGUAUGGCUGUUCGCCAUUUAAAGUGGUACGCGAGCUGGGUUUAGAACGUCGUGAGACAGUUCGGUCCCUAUCUGCCGUGGGCGCUGGAGAAUUGAGGGGGGCUGCUCCUAGUACGAGAGGACCGGAGUGGACGCAUCACUGGUGUUCGGGUUGUCAUGCCAAUGGCACUGCCCGGUAGCUAAAUGCGGAAGAGAUAAGUGCUGAAAGCAUCUAAGCACGAAACUUGCCCCGAGAUGAGUUCUCCCUGAGACUUUAAGUCUCCUGAAGGAACGUUAAAGACGAUGACGUUGAUAGGCCGGGUGUGUAAGCGCAGCGAUGCGUUGAGCUAACCGGUACUAAUGAACCGUGAGGCUUAACCU